CUCUCUAAAGAGCCCGCUGAUAAGGUGUUACCCAGAUUGUGUGCAACCUUCGAAAAGCUCAUGUAGAAGCACCUUUAAUCAUGCUCUGAUUGUCGUACCGAUUCACUGUUUCACGGUUUUUUCAUCUCUCCCAAGACGCAACCAGCAAGGCGCCAUACAGAUUGUAUGCAAGCAUUAAAAAGCUCACAUCUUACUAAUGUAGGUGCUCCUCCUACACUUCGGAGAUGAAUUGCAGCUCGCGGCCUCUCCUACUGCACACCCAAGGGUGACACCCUCCACUGACUAGCAUCUAAAGAUGCCUGCGGCCACAUCGUCGCGUGAGUAAGCUUCAACGGAAUAGAUCUAGAAAGGGAUCUGCCGAUGGAACUCCGAAGGACGAAGACUCAAGAACAGAUAUUUAGUCAAAGAAGAACCGCCAAAGCCUGAGGCAUGUUACAUUGGUACCCAAUAAAAAUUUGAUUACAUUGUAGCAGAUAUGAGUGACUAAUCCAGUCAUCCAGAUGACGUGACAUUGUAGCAGAUAUGAGUGACUAAUCCAGUCAUCCAGAUGACGUCAAUGCAAAUAGGUAAGGCAUUGUUCUUGCAGGCCAUUUAUUCUAUCUUAUUACUUUUGGCUUUCAUAUACAAGAUAGACAAUCGUAUGUAUCAUGUAAAUGGGAGAAUUUUUCCUCUUUCGGAUCUAUUACAGAACACACUUUUUUUCUGCUAUUUACUUAUGCAGUAGCUGGUUCAUGUGUCCAUGUUAUCUGGGUAGAUCGUUAGUACAACAUGUAUGACUAUUUAUUUGUAUUCUAAAUGGGAGUAGUUUUCCUCUUUCGGCUCUACCAUAUGAACUACUAGGAAUAAAUACAUUACCAUCACGAAUUUGUGGUUUGACCAAUUUGUUGUCAAGUAUAGCAAAUCUGCUCCGAGCAAAAUGGACUGUGAGGGAGGGAAUGGAGCAUGGUUAUAAUAUUUCUGGUUGCCUACCACAAACUGUCUGGUUAAAACAGUAACACAGUACUGCGGGGUUCAGGUAGUGGCCAAAGCUGCUACAAUCUUCACCGUAACAAAUUGUGCAUAACUAAACUAAUCAAUCAUAUUAAUGCCACGAUUUUACUCGCUCUGGAGUUGUUGCUGGAACUACAUAAU